AUUGAACGCUGGCGGCAUGCCUUACACAUGCAAGUCGAACGGCAGCAUGAUCUAGCUUGCUAGAUUGAUGGCGAGUGGCGAACGGGUGAGUAAUACAUCGGAACGUGCCCUGUAGUGGGGGAUAACUAGUCGAAAGAUUAGCUAAUACCGCAUACGACCUGAGGGUGAAAGUGGGGGACCGCAAGGCCUCAUGCUAUAGGAGCGGCCGAUGUCUGAUUAGCUAGUUGGUGAGGUAAAGGCUCACCAAGGCGACGAUCAGUAGCUGGUCUGAGAGGACGAUCAGCCACACUGGGACUGAGACACGGCCCAGACUCCUACGGGAGGCAGCAGUGGGGAAUUUUGGACAAUGGGGGCAACCCUGAUCCAGCAAUGCCGCGUGUGUGAAGAAGGCCUUCGGGUUGUAAAGCACUUUUGUCCGGAAAGAAAUCGCACUUACUAAUAUUAGGUGUGGAUGACGGUACCGGAAGAAUAAGGACCGGCUAACUACGUGCCAGCAGCCGCGGUAAUACGUAGGGUCCAAGCGUUAAUCGGAAUUACUGKGCGUAAAGCGUGCGCAGGCGGUUGUGCAGACCGAUGUGAAUCCCCGGGCUUACCUGGGAUUGCAUUGGUGACUGCACGGCUAGAGUGUGUCAGAGGGGGGUAGAAUUCCACGUGUAGCAGUGAAAUGCGUAGAGAUGUGGAGGAAUACCGAUGGCGAAGGCAGCCCCCUGGGAUAACACUGACGCUCAUGCACGAAAGCGUGGGGAGCAAACAGGAUUAGAUACUCUGGUAGUCCACGCCCUAAACGAUGUCAACUAGUUGUUGGGGAUUCAUUUCCUUAGUAACGUAGCUAACGCGUGAAGUUGACCGCCUGGGGAGUACGGUCGCAAGAUUAAAACUCAAAGGGAAUUGACGGGGACCCGCAACAAGCGGGUGGGAUGAUGUGGAUUAAUUCGAUGCAACGCGAAAAACCUUACCUACCCUUGACAUGCCACUAACGAAGCAGAGAUGCAUUAGGUGCUCGAAAGAGAAAGUGGACACAGGUGCUGCAUGGCUGUCGUUAGCUCGUGUCGUGAGAUGUUGGGUUAAGUCCCGCAACGAGCGCAACCCUUGUCUCUAGUUGCUACGAAAGGGCACUCUAGAGAGACUGCCGGUGACAAACCGGAGGAAGGUGGGGAUGACGUCAAGUCCUCAUGGCCCUUAUGGGUAGGGCUUCACACGUCAUACAAUGGUGCAUACAGAGGGUUGCCAAGCCGCGAGGUGGAGCUAAUCCCAGAAAAUGCAUCGUAGUCCGGAUCGUAGUCUGCAACUCGACUACGUGAAGCUGGAAUCGCUAGUAAUCGCGGAUCAGCAUGCCGCGGUGAAUACGUUCCCGGGUCUUGUACACACCGCCCGUCACACCAUGGGAGUGGGUUUUGCCAGAAGUCAGGCGCUAACCACAAAGGGGGCG
rnacentral:rRNA from 1 species